CGCAGGACGACCAUCCCCUCGUCCACUAUACGCCCGCCGCCGCCGUUGCAGCCAAACUCCGCAUCGUCGCGGCGGGACGACGUGCAACGCACGGAGGAGGCAGCUGGUUUCUUAUUGGCUACGGCGGGUGGCGGCGGGGGCGUCGGAGAUGGUCGACUGCGGCUCGGCCGGAGCGCCGGGUGGCCAGGGAGGCGGACGGCGGCGAAUUCGCAGCUCGUCAUGUUCAUGGGGUGCAUGCGCGCGUUUCGGCGCGGAGCAAUUCAAGAAGUGAGCAGGGUAUUGUAUAGGAGAAGGAAGAGAGGGAAACGAGAUCGAUCUCCGAUUGAUUGCGUGGGGAGCAAAGCAUGCAAUGCGAU
rnacentral:misc_RNA from 1 species